AUGGCGAGGCACUUCCUGCUCAACACCGGGGCCAAGAUCCCCUCGGUGGGGCUCGGCACCUGGCAGGCCGACCCCGGCGUCGUCGGCGACGCCGUCUACGCCGCCGUCAAGGCGGGGUACCGGCACAUCGAUUGCGCCAGAGUUUACGGCAACGAAAAGGAGAUCGGUUUGGCACUGAAGAAGCUAUUUGAAGAGGGCGUAGUGAAGCGUGAAGAUCUGUUUAUCACCUCUAAGCUAUGGAAUGAUCAUCAUGCUCCUGAAGAUGUGCCAGAGGCACUAAAUGAAAGCCUGAAUGAUUUACAGCUUGAUUACUUGGAUCUUUAUCUUAUCCAUUGGCCGUUUAGAGUCAAGAAGGGAACAAACAACAACCCUGAAAACUUUGUUACACCUGACUUGCCUGCUACUUGGGGGGCAAUGGAGAAGUUACAUGAUGCUGGCAAAGCUCGUGCGAUUGGCGUGAGUAACUUCUCAUCAAAGAAGUUGGGUGACUUGCUUGCUGUAGCUCGUGUACCUCCAGCUGUUGAUCAGGUGGAAUGCCAUCCUUGCUGGCAGCAAACUAAGCUCCACAACUUUUGUCAGUCAGUUGGUGUUCAUCUUAGUGCUUACUCGCCACUCGGUUCACCUGGUACUACUUGGAUGAAUGGUAACAUCCUUAAAGAACCAACAAUCAUCUCAAUAUCCGAGAAACUCGGCAAGACACCUGCACAAGUGGCUCUGCGCUGGAAUAUUCAGAUGGGUCACAGCGUGCUACCAAAGAGCACGAAUCAAGAAAGGAUAAAGCAAAACCUUGAUGUUCAUGAUUGGUCAAUUCCAGAUGACGUGCUUGCAAAGUUCUCGGAGAUUAAGGAGGCUAGGCUGCUCAGAGGCAACUUCGCUGUUAAUCCACAGAGCGUUUACAAGACCCACGAGGAGCUGUGGGACGGUGAGAUUUAG
rnacentral:rRNA from 1 species